UCCAUCUCUCUCCAAAAGUCCCGAAGUAUCACUUAAUAUAUUCUGUAUUCUACCUUGGCUGCCAUGGAUCCAUUUGGGCAGCCCUGUGAGGCCACACUCUCCCAGCACCUACAUGUUGGCUAUCCCUCCCUCUCCUGAUUUUCCUCAGGCUUGGUGUCUCCUCUCCUCCCUCUUUUGCAGCAUGGUCGAUAUCCUCUCCUUUUCCUUAAUCCCUGAAAUCCUAACAAUCCCAACUCUGUCUGUCCUGCCUAGCCAUUGGCUGUUGGCAUCUUUAUUUACCAGUCAGAACAAACUGGGGGCAUGUUCUAGAACCAUCUGCAUGAAAUCAAUUAUUCUCAUGCAAACAGUUUUUCAGGCCCCAAAUUAACAUAAAAAUACAAGCUGCAUUAGGCCAAACCCACUACAUUAUUGAAACUUUUUUAGAUUUUUUCCAUUUAUUUAUAUACUAUAUUAUGCUUACCAUUACUUUUUUUUUUAAAUAGCCAACACGUUUAUCUAGGGUCUUCUUUAUGAUCAUGGGUUUGAGGCUAUGCAUGGGAAACUGAUAGGUAGAUCACUAGUACAUAAAAAAAAGACAAUGUCUGCUCUUUCUCCAGAAUCCAUUAUCAGACAGACUCAGACAUAAGUGGUAGAGAAUAAUAGGAAAACAGCUAUACAUCUAUAUCUAUACGACUUUCUCUGGGGCUUGGGAAUGCUGUUGUACUCCAUGUACUCCAUGUACUCAUGGAGGGUAUAGGUUUCAUUGAUGCAACUAUUUCUGGGUCACUCAAUCUCCCAUAGGAAAUCCCUGACCUUGCAGCUAUUAGUGAACUCCACAAAUUUACAAGUACAGAAACACAGACAUAGAUGAAAUAGUUUAUUUGAUCUGUUUUCAUAUUUUAUUUGUCUGGGGUUAAGAGACAUUAGGCCCUAUUUUCCAAGAAUAGGUCAUACUGUAGCUUACAUCAAGGUGAAAAAAAUGAAAUUAAGAUGGUUAUUAUUAUAAGAACCAAAAAUAUAAAUUGUGAAGCAAUGAAUGAAAUUAAUAUCAUGACAUUUGAUGUUCUAUGUGAAAAUACGUAUCAUAUACAGUAUAAAAUAAUAAUAAUGUACACAUUAAUAUACUUUAGUAUGUGAAUAUAAACAUGAAUACAUACAUAUCUAAACCUUGGCAAUAAGUAUAAUAAACUAUUGGUUAAACAAAGUAGAAAAACUAGAAAAAAUGUAAAACCAAUACCAUCUUAAAUUUUCAAAUUAAUUCCUUGGUCAAUCAGUGGUGAAAUCACCCUAUCUAAUACACUAAAAUUAAAUUGCAUAGAACAGUGAAAUAUAGAUAUCUCAAAAAUGUCUACAUGGGAAGCAAAGUAAGAUAAAUCACUAAGUGGAUAUUGAAGUCAAAUAAAAGGAACUACCUAUUUAGUCAUAAAUUUUGUUUCAGAAUUUUUUUGGGGCAUCCUUUAUAGAAAUUGUCAUAUUUGGACAAAAGACUGGAGUAAUUCAUUCUAUUUCCAUCAUUAAUGAUUACAAACAUUUGGAAGAAGUAAGAUAUGGAGAAUAGAAAAGAUAUACUAUAUUUAACAACUUUAUAACAUAAUGAUGUUUGCAGCUUUAUCUUCAGGGUUCUAGUAACAAAAUUGAUAUUAAGCACGAAUGUAUGAAUUAUAUAAAUAAUAAGUUAUUUGUUCUCCUCAAUUCUGAAAUUACAAUGUACUUUGUCACAUGUUCCACAAUUACAGCCUCCACUUGCCUAUUUAAUAAAAAGAGGAAAUAAACAACAGAAAAACAUGUUGAGAAAAUACCCGUGCUUUGGAUAGGAACAGUUUUGAAGAGUCAACCAAUUCACAGUGUUUUUUUACUUUUGUAUUUUGAUGACUAAUUGUUUGGUGCUGCCAUGAAUAUUUCAUACCUGGAACCAUGUUUUGGUAACAAUAGAAUGUGAGCACAAUGAACCAAAUCAGCAACUGUGUACUUGUGGUCUUGGGACGGCAUGAAGAAGAUCAGGAGAAAGCCUACUUCUUUAGGUAUGAAAAACACAGCUUGCAUACCAUAUAUUUUUUUAUACCAAGAAAGUUUUUGAUUUGGGUUUAUUUAAUUUUCUCUUUCUGAAUAAGCUUUGGCCAUGGUUUUGGAAAGGAAAUGCCUCAAUGGGGACACCCUAGUCACAUCUUUCAAAAAUUGUCUACAGUAGCACAAGAAAUUAAGAUGAUGGUAGCCUUGGAAACCAAUAUAAUAUAAUACUUGUCAUAUUUCUUGAGUAAUAAGUUCUCUUUUUCCUCCUUUCCAGGCCACAGUGACCUAUGAAAUGACACUCUAUGCAACUGGGAUUUAUGUAUGGAAAAAUUGAGCAGGCAGUAUAUCUACACAAAUUAUCUAAAAUGAUAAAGAGAUAAGAAGAAAGACAUAUCCAAGCUUAACAAAUACAUGGCUUAGCCUGAGCCAACAAUGUCUCCACUGAAAUAUUCCUAGGCCUAGGCACAGAAGAUUCUAGCAGAUAUACGAUGUAAUCUUCUGUACUCUUGGACCCGGAAGGCAUCAGCUUCUAGACUUUCUCUGUUAUCUUAGGCCUAGAAAUCUUCAGCCACUGAGAUUUACUGCACUCACUCUUUCUGAACUCUGGUUAGCUGGUUCAAGCUCAGCUGUUGUGGCUCAAACUCCUCUCCAAGCUGACUUAUUCAAAUGGGUUCCUCUUAGCUUCUGACUGUAUUGCUCUGCUUGGAAAAACGGCCUCUGAAUGACACAAACUCAACUACACUGACUGUAUGAAGUGACCAGAACUAAAACUGAACAAAACUGCUGGAACUCAACUGAACUGCAAGGAACUGAAAUGAACUCUCUCCCUUCACUGCUCUUAGUUACCCCCUCUUUCCUGGGUGUUGGCUAGACCCCAUUUCUGACACAUACAGUCAAAUCUCUUUUCUAUUCAUCACUUCUUUCCCUUCUACAAAAUAAACUUACCUUCAUUGCUUAGGAUCCUAA
rnacentral:sRNA from 1 species